rnacentral:rRNA from 1 species
UCUAGCGAGACUGCCGGUAUAAACCGGAGGAAGGUGGGGAGUGACGGUCAAAUCAUCAUGCCCCUUAUGACCUGGGCUACACACAUGCUACAAUGGUUGGUACAACGAGUUGCGAGUCGGUGACGGCGAGCUAAUCUCUUAAAGCCAAUCUCAGUUCGGAUUGUAGGCUGCAACUCGCCUACAUGAAGUCGGAAUCGCUAGUAAUCGCGGAUCAGCACGCCGCGGUCGAAUACGUUCCCGGGCCUU